rnacentral:lncRNA from 1 species
AGAUAAGACUCUGUCUACCCUGGGCAGCUUUCCUGAUCCAUGGCAGUCUGGCUUACAAGCAAUACUAGGCUUCUAUUGUCUCUUUCUGUAUAUUUAUAAGAAACAUGGCCAGGCAAGAUGGCUUAUGUCUUUAAUCUCAGCUGUUUGGGAAGCCAAGUGGAAAGAUUGCUUGAGGCCAGGAGUUCAAGACCAACCUGGAUAAUGGUUUCUUCCCACUCUCCAGUGAAUAAGCAACGAUGAGUGUUAGGCUGUUUAUUCAGAUACCCUCACGCCACUGCAGAAGCGAGUAGAGGAAGAAUACAAGGAAAAAAGUGUCUCCCAGCCUGUGGAAAGAGGAUGGCUAUUUCAUCCACUAAAGGUAUUAAGCAGAAAUGUGUACACUUUAAGUGAAUUGGUAUGUCUACAUCAUCCCAGGAGGAGUGAAUGUCUGUGUGUGUGUACCUGAGAUAAGAUGAUGUCUUGUCCAAUGCUGGUUUCCACCUUGUGCCCUGAGCUGUUGGGAGAGGCUCCUGCGACCUGUGACCCUGAAGCAGAAUAAGUGGACUGAAUAAAGGAAUGAUGCGUAU